CACUGAUAGAUACCCUGAUAUAAAUAAGCGUUCCGUGGUCUAGUAGUGACUUAGUCUUGCGCAGACACGACUCAGCUAAGCGUACACGUCUGGUUCUUCUACUCCUUAUCGACUAGCAAGUCCGCCCGACAUGGCCCAGUUUCGGCCCGCGAUGUGCCUAGCACUGCUCCUGCUGUGUGUGGCUGCGCUGCGCGCGCAGGAAGGCUGUCCGAAGCCUCAAGGACUGGGAUCCUGCGCAAUAAUAUGCACGGUUGGCCGGCCGUGUGCCUCGCCUUUGCAACUCUGCUGCAGUACGUCCUGCGGGGGCACGUACUGCUACACUCCGCCUGUGCCAGUUUAACCCGCUCCAUCAUAAGGUGAUUCGAGGAAAACACAGAAAGAGACGGAGCAAGAAUCAGAAGACAGUUUGAAAUGUAAAAUGUUGCAGAAAUAAAUAAACGCAUAACGCUCA